UACGGAGGAUGCAAGCGUUAUCCGGAAUUAUUGGGCGUAAAGCGUCCGCAGGUGGUUAUUCAAGUCUGCUGUUAAAGCGCAGGGCUUAACUCUGUAACGGCGGUGGAAACUGGAUGACUAGAGUAUGGUAGGGGUAGCGGGAAUGCCCAGUGUAGCGGUGAAAUGCGUAGAUAUUGGGAAGAACACCAGCGGCGAAAGCGCGCUACUGGGCCAUAACUGACACUCAUGGACGAAAGCUAGGGGAGCGAAAGGG
rnacentral:rRNA from 1 species